GACGUAGGGGGCGAGCGUUGUCCGGAUUUAUUGGGCGUAAAGCGCGCGCAGGCGGCUCGGAAAGUCGGGUGUGAAAACCCGGGGCUCAACCCCGGACCUGCAUCCGAUACUCCCGGGCUAGAGGCAGGUAGGGGAGAGUGGAAUUCCUGGUGUAGCGGUGAAAUGCGCAGAUAUCUGGAGGAACACCGGUGGCGAAGGCGGCGUUCUGGACUGCAACUGACACUGAAGAACGAAAGCCAGGGGAGCAAACGGG
rnacentral:rRNA from 1 species